rnacentral:rRNA from 1 species
UACGGACGGUGCAAGCGUUAUCCGGAUUCACUGGGUUUAAAGGGAGCGCAGGCGGAUUGGUAAGUCAGUGGUGAAAGGCUUAAGCUUAACUUGGGAACUGCCAUUGAUACUAUCAGUCUUGAAUGUUGUUGAGGUUUGCGGAAUGGGUCAUGUAGCGGUGAAAUGCAUAGAUAUGGCCCGGAACACCUAUUGCGAAGGCAGCAGGCUAAACAAAUAUUGACGCUGAGGCUCGAAAGCGUGGGGAUCAAACAGG